UAAUAAUUACAUUGUGUACUGACGCUGAUUGCAAUUACAAAAAAGGUUUAUGGUUGGGUCCUGGUGGCGGGCGAACCCGCCCAGGAAACAAGAAGUGCGCAAAAGACAUGGGUGAAUAAUUCAGACAAGCUGGAGCCCUCACCGAGAUGAGGUCCCAACCCGCUUUCAUAUUGUGUAAUGAUCCCUCCGCAGGUUCACCUACGGAGA
rnacentral:misc_RNA from 1 species